rnacentral:lncRNA from 1 species
AGCUACUGCACUGUUCUAUGCAUCAUUUUGCUUCCAGAAUGGUGCCACGAGUUUCAUGAACGACGGCUUAAACACAAAGCCCACGAGGCUGCCCAAGUCCUGUCCGCGCGUCACGAGUUCCACGCUCCGAGUUCCCGCAGCGCCGAGCAGCGCUCCGCCGUCACGGGCGGGCACAAGAAGGGCACACGGCCGGCUCCGAGCCCGGGCCAGUCCCGCAGCACCGCCCUCCUGAGGCCUCCGCACAGCACAGCACCGCACAGCACCGCACAGCACAGCACCGCACAGCACCGCACAGCACAGCACCGCACAGCACAGCACAGCACAGCACAGCACCGCACAGCACAGCACCGCACAGCACCGCACAGCACAGCACAGCACCGCACAGCACAGCACCGCACAGCACAGCACAGCACAGCACCGCACAGCACAGCACAGCACAGCACAGCACAGCACCAGCACACACCCACAGCACCGCACAGCACAGCACAGCACCGCACAGCACAGCACAGCACAGCACAGCACAGCACCGCACAGCACCGCACAGCACAGCACCGCACAGCAGCGCACAGCACAGCACAGCACAGCACCGCACAGCACAGCACCGCACAGCACAGCACAGCACCGCACAGCACAGCACAGCACCGCACAGCGCUCAGCAGCGCCGCAUACACAGCCGGACUAAGAGCAGCCCGUCCCGCAGCGGUUCAGAGGAUCCGAAGUUUCCGCGGCCGUUGCAUAACCGCGGCGGGGCGGUGCGGGGCGGUGCGGGGCGGUGCGGGGCGGUGCGGGGCGGGGCAGUCCCGUCCUGUCCCGUCCUGUCCUCGCCCCGGGGUGGCUCGGCUCGGCCCGGGGGAGGCGCCGCGCUGCCCGUGUGCUGACCCGCCCUUCCCUGCUCCGGGCCGGGCCGUGGUUGGAGGGCGCAGAGGCGGCCGGACGGCGCUGCCCCGGGGCCGCCUGCCGUUCCGCGCGGCGCGUCCCCAAGGCGGCGGUGCCGGCCCCGUCCCCGUCCGUGCCCUGCCGUCUCCUGCCCUCCGCCGGGGCUGA